CCUACGGGUGGCUGCAGUGGGGAAUAUUGCACAAUGGGCGAAAGCCUGAUGCAGCAACGCCGCGUGGAGGAUGAAGGCCUUCGGGUUGUAAACUCUUGUCUUCUGGGACGAUAAUGACGGUACCAGAGGAGGAAGCCACGGCUAACUACGUGCCAGCAGCCGCGGUAAUACGUAGGUGGCGAGCGUUGUCCGGAUUUACUGGGCGUAAAGGAUGCGUAGGCGGAUAUUUAAGUGAGAUGUGAAAUACCCGGGCUUAACUUGGGUGCUGCAUUUCAAACUGGAUAUCUAGAGUGCGGGAGAGGAAAGUGGAAUUCCUAGUGUAGCGGUGAAAUGCGUAGAGAUUAGGAAGAACACCAGUGGCGAAGGCGGCUUUCUGGACCGUAACUGACGCUGAGGCAUGAAAGCGUGGGGAGCAAACAGGAUUAGAUACCCCUGUAGUCCG
rnacentral:rRNA from 1 species